ensembl:misc_RNA Y_RNA Y RNA
GGCUGGUCUAAGUGCAAUGGUGUUUACAACUAAUUGAUCACAAGCAGUUACAGAUUUCUUUGUUCCUUCUCCACUCCCACUGCUUUAUUUGACGUGGUUUAAA